rnacentral:rRNA from 1 species
AGCGAACGCUGGCGGCAGGCCUAACACAUGCAAGUCGAACGAAGUCUUCGGACUUAGUGGCGGACGGGUGAGUAACACGUGGGAACGUGCCUUUAGGUUCGGAAUAACUCAGGGAAACUAGUGCUAAUACCGAAUGUGCCCUCCGGGGGAAAGAUUUAUCGCCUUUAGAGCGGCCCGCGUCUGAUUAGCUAGUUGGUGAGGUAAAGGCUCACCAAGGCGACGAUCAGUAGCUGGUCUGAGAGGAUGAUCAGCCACAUUGGGACUGAGACACGGCCCAAACUCCUACGGGAGGCAGCAGUGGGGAAUCUUGCGCAAUGGGCGAAAGCCUGACGCAGCCAUGCCGCGUGAAUGAUGAAGGUCUUAGGAUUGUAAAAUUCUUUCACCGGGGACGAUAAUGACGGUACCCGGAGAAGAAGCCCCGGCUAACUUCGUGCCAGCCGCCGCGGUAACAC